CCCAGUGGUAAGUCAGCUGCCCUGUGCUUUGCUGUGCCUGUGCUGGCGUUACAUCACUGGGAAAUGAAUGGCUGAUAACCUGGCAGUUAAUUGUUGCCGUUUUGGUGAUGGUUAACAAUACGCCAGGGCAGCACUGCAUCCUAGAGUGGACCACUGCAUUCACCUGUAUGGGUGGUCCUAGUACGGUUGCAUACAUG